rnacentral:tRNA from 1 species
CAAAUUAUUUAGAAAAAAUUUUUUAUUUACAAUAAAAUAAUUAGUUGUUUAAUUCAACUUAAUUUGA